GGCAAGGUAGCUCAAUUGGUAGAGCAAUAUAAGAAUGUAAGUCAUGUCUGUGGCUUCUACAGCAAUUUUUAUUCGAUAUUAAGACAAACAUUUGAUGUCAGUUCGAUUCUGACCCUCGUCU
rnacentral:tRNA from 1 species